rnacentral:rRNA from 1 species
UUUUUGAGAAUUUGAUCCUGGUUCAGGAUGAACGCUGGCGGUGUGCCUUAAGCAUGCAAGUCAAGGGGGCUCCGCAAGGAGCAACCGGCGGACGGGUGAGUAACGAGUAGGAAUCUCCCUCUAGGUGGAACAUAGCUUAUCGAAAGAUGGGGUAAUUUUCCAUAGUCAAUUUAUUGUAAAGCACUUAACUGUGCGCCAAGAGAUGAGCCUGCUUCCUAUCAGCUUGUUGGCGGGGUAAAUGCCCACCAAGGCAAUGACGGGUAGCUGGACUGAGAGGUCGAUCAGCCACAACUGCACUGAGACACGGGCAGUACACCUACGGGUGGCAGCAACUGGGAAUAUUGC